CGAACGGGUGAGUAACACGUGGGUGACCUGCCCUUAGCUCUGGGAUAAGCCUGGGAAACUGGGUCUAAUACCGGAUAUGACUCCAUGACGCAUGUUGUGGGGUGGAAAGCCUUGUGCGGCUAGGGAUGGGCCCGCGGCCUAUCAGCUUGUUGGUGGGGUGAUGGCCUACCAAGGCGACGACGGGUAGCCGGCCUGAGAGGGCGACCGGCCGCACUGGGACUGAGACACGGCCCAG
rnacentral:rRNA from 1 species